UGCGCGCACUCGUGCGUGUGUGUGUGUGUGUGUGCGUAUGAUGAAAACUAGCCUGCUCACGCAGGGCCGUGCCUCUGUUUCAUCAUCAGCUCCAGUCUUCUCUGUUUCGCUAGCUCAUACACUCCUCCUCUUUCUUAGCCAGAUGGCUCGAGUCGCUCACAAGGGGGAGAUUGGACUAUGAAAAAAGAUUGCUGCUGCAGCUUGCGUUCCUGCUGCAAGGGCCUCCUCUUCAGACGGCCUUUGCCAGAGCAGAACUUUUCAAAAUGCUACAAAUAGGAUCUUCUUUUUUUCCUCCUUUAUUUAAACCCUUCUCCUUUUUUUAAAAAUAACAAAAAAACCAAAAAAAAACGGGACUAAUUUUUCUUGUUUUCUGUGCUGUGCUUGGCUGUACAGUAUAUUGCAGUGUUGAGCUUAAAGCUACAAGUAUUUCUACCACCACCCCCGCUGAUCCAUUUUUUUUCUGCCUUGGUUAAAGAAAUUGGUGUAUUUGAGCAAUGAAUCAGGAUUUGCUAGUUUGUGUGCUGUGAGAAUGAUGGCUUUUAUUUGCGAUUUUUUCCCCUGAGUGCCAGUGCCCUGUGCUGCUCAUGGAAUCAGCUUCUUUCUUUCUUUCUGUAUAUUUUUUAAUUGCUUCAGGUAUCUGUGCCACAUGAACAAGGAUGGAUGGUAGCCCUCCAACCCCCUUAUAAUCUGACCGUGGCUGAAAUGGAAAUACUGCGGGGCUUUUUUGUCCUUGCAGGGUCCCUCCCCUCCCUUUCUUUCACUGUUUAGGAGGGAAAAGGGGUGUGCGGUAAAAUGCUGUCUCUGGGACAGGUGCCAGCUCCAAGACAAAAGGAAUAAAAUAGGCAGUAAAUGGGGAAAAUUAAUAGUCAAUAAAAAUAGGAAUUGGAAAUGUGUAAGCGGCAACAUUGGUAAAAGUGUUGUCAGCUACCCAGCCUUUCUGUUGAAUUUUAUCUGCAGAUAUAGGCUAAAAGGAGAAAGUUUAGGUGUACUUUUUUAUUCGUCCUCUCUAUAGGCAUUUGAAAAGAUAAGGCGGGUUUUUUUUUUGGACUACUGAAUUAUUCAUAGUGUCAGUGGUGAAGCCAGGACCAUUAGCAUGCAUCAGACAUGCUGUUUGUCUGUUUGCUAACAUUCUUCAUUCAAGACUUGUUAACUACCAGACAAGCUUAACACGCUUCUCUUUUCCCCCUCCCCUUCUCUCUCUCCCUCUCUCUCUCUUUCUCUCUCUCCUUUUCAUGCCACCCCUUUAGUCUCCUAUUGUUGUUGCUGGGAGCUGGCAGCCAGGGGUAGUUGUGGCAGGGAAAGCAUGUGGACGAGAAGCUGGAACCCGUUGCUAGGAGACUGCAGAACUGCAAGGUGAACACAUUGGCAUCCUCUUUCCGUACCUGGUCCCUGAGGCUUGUUUCCCACCAUUCACAGGAAUAUUUGUUCUACCAAAUACUAUUGAUAUAUGGGGAGAAGGAGAUGCAACAGCAAAAGGUGCAGAUAAUCAUCACUCUUUGCUAAACUGGCUGUUCCGAUGGAUCUGUAACAAUGCAACACCAUGUCACAAUUUUAAUUUUGAUUUGUAUAGUUUAUGUCUGGCAAAAACUACAUUUUAAUUAGAAACACCGAUACAUUUCAUUCUUCAAACGGUGCAUGCUGUACAACUGAAGACGAAGAAACGUGUUCCGUGUGUGUUGAUACACUAUACAAUGGUAUCUGAUUUGUGCAAAAAUAUUCAUUCAGUUAUUCUGCAUGCAUACAGCUAGAUAAACUAUUGAUUGCAGCAAGAGCACUUAGACAAUGGAGUAGUACUUAUACCCAGAACCACUCUGGUAGGCACCCUCGACAUGCAUAGGUAAGUAGGUGCUGGCAAAUAGGUAGAUAUAAAAGAGCCAGGCUAGAUUUUUAAGUGCAUGUGCAAGCUUUUGCAAGCUUACAUUUGCACAAACUCUAAUACAUGUGUAAACCCCUGUUUGCUCAUGCCUGUAAUUAUGGGCCUGAUCUAAAAUCUACUGACAUCCAUUGACUUUAAUGGGAUUUAGACCAGGCCCUAUGUGCGCAAACGUCAGGAUUUAGUGUUAUUGGCAUUUGCAUGCCUGCAAGUCAAUGGGCACAAUAAAUCUGUUUAUACGCUUUGUGGGGCCCUUUUGUAAGUCUUACCUAUAUAUUAGUGUUUGUGAACAAAUCCAUGUAUGAUUUUUUUAAAUAAAGAAACCCAUGUAAACUCUGCAGCUACUCCUGCCUCCACGUAAGUCAGUAGCAAAACUCCCAGUGACUUCAGUAGGAUCAGGAUUGUGGUAAAGUACUUCAUUUAAUCAGUGAGAUAGAACAAAACUCUGAUUUUGCCUCCCUCUCCUGAUGGCCUUACUGUUGAGACUACACACGUGAAUGAGAGCUGCAGAAUCGGGCCCUUUCAUAGUUCAAUCUCUUUUAAAGUAUGUGGUUAAAUCUAAACCCUCAUUAUUUUGGGUAGUCCUUAUAAGAACCAUUAUUUUUUGAAGUUUAUUGUUACUAAUUAUUAAAUACUUACACACUCUUGCCUCUUCAGUAAAUUUGAAACUUGUUAUAUCAGACCUCUGGAAACAAAGGGUCUGAUCCAAAGCCCACUGGAAUCAAUGGAAGUUUUUCCAUUAACUUCAGUCGGUUUUGGAUCAAGCCUGUGUACGUAGCAGUUUUAAAUUACAGUGCAACCAUUAGACUGACUUUCUCUUCCCUCUCACUGUUUUCAGGAGUCUGGUGGACUUUAUUCAGGAACGUCAUUCCCAAAUAUUUCUUAAAAGACAUUGUGUGUGUAAAUUAGAUUUC